UACAGAGGGUGCAAGCGUUAUUCGGAAUUACUGGGCGUAAAGCGUGCGUAGACGGUUACAUAAGUCGGGUGUGAAAGCCCCGGGCUCAACCUGGGAAUUGCAUUCGAGACUGCGUAGCUAGGGUGCGGAAGAGGGGAGCGGAAUUUCCGGUGUAGCGGUGAAAUGCGUAGAUAUCGGAAGGAACACCAGUGGCGAAAGCGGCUCCCUGGUCCAGCACCGACGUUCAGGCACGAAAGCGUGGGGAGCAAACAGG
rnacentral:rRNA from 1 species